GACGGAAGGUGCAAGCGUUGCUCGGAAUUACUGGGCGUAAAGGGCUCGUAGGCGGCCAACUAAGUCAGACGUGAAAUCCCCAGGCUCAACCUGGGAACUGCGUCUGAUACUGGAUGGCUUGAAUCCGGGAGAGGGAUGCAGAAUUCCAGGUGUAGCGGUGAAAUGCGUAGAUAUCUGGAGGAAUACCGGUGGCGAAGGCGGCAUCCUGGACCGGCAUUGACGCUGAGGAGCGAAAGCCAGGGGAGCAAACGGG
rnacentral:rRNA from 1 species